AUACUUUCCUCGCCGGCGGCGGCUCCUCUCCCAUCGUCGGCCGUCGACCUCGCUUACCAGCUUCCCGCCACGGUGUAUUGGCUCGCCUGAGUGCUUCGGUGCCCUACGCAUGGCUGAGGACCGGACGCUUUAUUUCAGCGCGGUACGAUCGGCCCAUCGCUGCACGGCGGCGGUCCGCCAACCAGUGCCUCCUACCGGUGAUGUACGCGACGGCCGCGCGCUCCUCGCCAGCGGGAAGAAAUUCAGUGUAGUGGCCACACUGGGAUCGCGGAAUUAAGGCUUCAACCGCGGCAUCCUCCUCGGUCCAAUCGUCUUGCAGGCAACAGGUGGUAGGAUCAAAAUAUUGGCCAGUGGGCAAAGGACUGAAGCUCUGGGUCCAAGAGAAUAAUCACAACGGAGGCGUGAACAUAUGGAUGACAAGCUAUAAUCUUCUGAAUUUGGAACGUUUCAGACAGUCUAUGAUGCUGACAUCCCUGACCAGGUAGUAGAAUUUAUUGAUGAUAUAAACGUGACAGUACAGGUACCUUGUCUGACAAGUUCUUAGCACCUUGAUGGCUUUCUAUUGUUUUGCUGCUGCUUACUUGUCGCAUGUGAUCCUGGACAAACAUAAAUUGAUAUGGUAGUUAUCUUUGAACACGAAGUGACUCGGUACCGAUUGAAAGCAACUAUUUAAGGCUUUUCGGUAAAUAGGAUGGUGUCAUUGUGGUAGAAAUGGUAGCUCACUAGUUGCAAGAAGUAUCUAUCUAAAAUUUGGUUUCAGUUAAUUUAGUCAGGUUUCAGUUCAUCAUAAGCUAGGGUCGGAUUUCUUUUCCAUUAUGUGGGCCAGGCCUAAAACCCCCGCUCAAGAACCAAGAGACAGCCCAUGAUGCCCCGGCUGGCCCAAGAGAGGUUGCCAACUAGGACUAGGGCGGCAGAGCACCGAGUUGUAGUGUUCGAUAUAUAAUGGACAGCACAUGGGAUAAAUGAAGCAAGCAGGGAAAACCAAAAUCCAGUCACCCUUCUCCUGCACGGGCAUUGACGCUGCAUCAGCCUCGCUUCUCUAUUGAGGUCAGCCUACUACUCUGCUAAUCUUCUAAGUUAUUGGCCUGCCGAGAUAAACAUGCACAAAGAGGACGGUAUGAGAGGCACAAUAUAAGUUGAGAAGGAAGGACUAGCACCAUCAUAAUGGAAACCUGACUAAAUUAACUGAAACCAAAUUUUACCACCAAAAAGCCGACGGCCUUAUUUCAGUUCAUCGUAAGCUAGGGUCGGAUUUUCUUGCGUCGCAGGACUCUAUGCACCUGUCGAAGCCUCUACUACCAAAAAUCUGACGGCCUUAUUUGCAGCGAGUCUCCAUUCACCUCACCCCCAGUGAGUUGGCUAGAUCUGGUAUGACCCAAACAACAGAGGUGAGGUCGCCCUAGCCGAUGUCGUAGCAAACAAUCCAAACAGCCGGAUUAGGCCUGCCAAUUGCUCCAAGAUGCAAACAGCCCACCAAGGACCAACAACGCAUUGGUGGCAGACUCUAACAUCACCCUUGACAUGGAAGGCAUGCCGUCAAAUCUAAGUUAUUUAGUUUUAAAGUUUUGCUGAAGAUUUGUCUUGUGGAUGUUGAAGAUGACUUAGAAGUGCUAUCCACCGAGGAGUUCCCUGCCAAACGAAAGCUCCCUGUCCAGCCGGUGAGCUCCCAAGGAACCUGUUUGCUGGAGUCAGGCUCAUGCUCUCGGGAUCCAGUGAGCCACGAGUCAGGAAGCAGUCUGCUGGCUAGUGGGUCCAGAUCAGCGAUGGCAACUCCAGAUAAUUGACACGCCACCAGCGCACUGACGACAACCUAAACAGCAGCCCAACAUCACUGACGAUCAGGCAACAAGGCAGCCAACUGUAGCCGGCCGCGAAGCAGAUCUGGAGCAUAGCGAGGCCACCAUGGCUCCGCCAUCGAUGUCAGGGCCAGAGGCCAGCUCUCCACACACAGGAGGGAGCAAGGUCGCCAAGAAAUGCUACACCACCACCCAACUGCAGACACGUUAACCCUAGAGAGAUCACGCCAGCGACCAGGAGAGUGCAGCACCUCCAAGGCGGGAGUGCAGUCCACCACCUUUGGCGUUGGAGCUUCUCAGCACUGCCGCGUGACAAGCCGGUAACCCUACACAGGCGGAAAGGGCGGAGAGAGGGUUAAUCCAGCAAGGAACGGAAGCACGAGAGGCCGGUAGAGUUGUUGGAUCUCCUCCGGAGUAAAAACAUAGUUGAAAGCACUUUCGAUUAAAUUGAGCAAUCUACAAUUGAUGAAGUAACACAUAUGUACAGGUAGACCUAGCAAGGCUGCCUCUAUGGACAGCUAUGUGGCAACUAAGAAGUUCAAUCAUAUUUUAUUCUCCAUCUGAGAUGCUAGGUGUUCUUGAGCCCAUGUUUCUUGCUGACAGGUACUCCACGGGGUAUCGAACUCUUCUUUCUGCAUAAAUGCUACCGAGCUGUAGCUGAAGUUGGUUGGUGUCAACUCUGGCAGUGGAAUAUCACCAUCAAGGUAUUGCAUGACCUGCCGCAUGGUAGGCCUUGUGUUGGGGAUCGGUUGUGAGCACAUCAGCCCAAGCAUCAGAACUAGGCAUGCCUCAUCGGCAUUAUAGUCACUCUUCAUCCUUAGAUCCACCGUUUCCUUGAGUGAUCCUCUAUGCCAGUGCUCGAGAACCACAUCGACUAACAACCUUGGUCUAUGUUGUGAGCUGUUGCUGAUUGGCCUUCGCCCACAGGUGACCUCAAGAAGGAACACGCCAAAGGCAUAUACAUCUGUGAGAGGGGAUACUCUUCCUGUGAAUGCUAGCUCCGGAGCUAGAUACCCCAAGGUCCCAACAAGUUUUGUGGUGAUUAGUGGGUCGGUACCAUGGUCAUGUAAUCUUGCAAGGCCAAAGUCACCUAGGCGUCCGUUCAUUUCAUUAUCAAGGAGGACAUUACUUGCUUUGAUGUCUCGGUGGAUGACAACCCGCUCGCACUUCUCAUGGAGGUGUAAUAGGCCAGAAGCCACAUCUUUGAUAAUGUGAAACCUCUGAGCCCAAUGUAAAAUGGGUUUCCCUUCCUCGCUGUAUAGAUACUUAUCAAGACUACCAUUUGACAUGUAGUCAUAGACCAGGAGGAGCUCUCCCUUACGUCGGCAAUAACCGAGUAACUGAGCGAGGUUGCGGUGCCGUAAAUGGCCAAUACUAACAACUUCAGAGAUGAACUCUUUUAUACCUUGGCUUGAAUCGUGGGACACCCUUUUCACGGCGACCUCCCAUUUGGAGGUUGGCAGCACUCCUUUGUACACCUUCCCAAACCCUCCUGUGCCAAGUAUGUGCUUAUUCUUGAAUCCUUCUGUAGCUUUGAAUAGAUCCUUGUAGGAGAACCGGUGAGGCCCAAACUCAACCUCCCAAUCUUCUCUCAACUCAGCAAAAGAGAGCUUCCUCCGGAUGAGAAGAAUUACUGCCGUGCAUGUAGCAAUAAAUAGUGAUGCGGUGGCUAUUGGCCAUACAAUAUUUAACACCUUUGGCGAAGUCUUACGGCUAGAACAAGGGAGCUCAGGCAACUUGUCAAUGUCAAUGGAUGGAGCAGAAGUGUUAAGGGCGAAGCUCCAACCAAGAACAUAGAACCAUGAACUGAGUGGGCCAGUUGCGGCUGAGAAACCAAUAUAUGCUUGAUCAGUUAGCACAGCUGAAAGGUUGUGAGUGACUGAGAGUAGUGGCCUUGCAGGUUUAGCCAUUACGGUGGGAGCUAAAGUGACAUUGAUCUGUGUAGUCUCUCCGUCAUACUCCACCCAAACCUGCAUAAGCUUGCAGCCGCACAGAGUCAGGUUUUUGAAGCUGCCACCGUCUUCAUCGUCAUAGAAGCCAGCAUGAUGGGACUGAAUGGAGUUGAGGCUGUUGAUGUCAAUGCCGAUGUGGUUGCCAUUGAUAUCUUGUAGUUCCAAGUUUUGAGCAGUGUCGAGCUCCACUGCAAACAUGUGAUUUCUGGUGUCGUUGUCACUCUUGCUGUUGAGGAGGCCCAUGUACUGAGCUGACAUGGCAUCUGAGAAAUUCUGAUCUGGGCUGAUGAAGAAGGCCAUGCCAUCGGUGCUUGCUUCUGAGUAGGCAGAGGCGAUGCUGAACACAAAGGUAACUGAAAAGGACUGUACUGUGCCAUUGAGUGACUUCUUGAACUGAAACGGAGUUGGGUAAAACGCAUGGCCUUUGGUAUUUGCCACGUUGUUCGUCAGCUCGAGGAGUCCUUUGGGGGUAACUAUGGCAGCUCCAUCAAGGGUGAGGCUGGUGUUUCCGGCACCAGUGAAGCCGGAGUAGGCAAAAUGGUCUUCACCGGCACAGAAAGGUACAAGUUUGAGGGUAAGACAGAUCUGGGAGAAAACUAGAAGGAAGAUCACAGGUAGAUGGACCAUCUGAAUGAUGAUCCAGAGGCAAAGUAUUUUGAAGGGGAAGAACAAGUGAGCAAGGAAGCAAAGGACAGACUUUUCUCUUGCCCUACACACAUGGUAAAUGACUUGCCGUGGGCAGUUUAUAGUUAGUUCAUUGGGCUUGUUAUUAGCUAUGUCAAGGUGGCCAAUGACUUGCCAUAGUCAAUGCCGGAGUAUUGUACUUUGUUUUUUUCCUGAUGGAUCACUGUCUGAAUUUUAUUUUUUUUUGCGAAGAUCACUGUCUGCAGUUUGAUGAUGUACAUGCCAAGAAUAUCCUUUUGUUUUCAUGUGUGUUCGUAGAAAAGAAAACCUCUUCUGGAAUACGACUUCAUCUUUUCUUAAGAAAACUUCGUAUUCAUCCAUUUGUCCUUGCUUAAUCCACGUUUUUUUUUGCAAAACCUUAAUAUUAUGAGAUUCGUUGUGUUUUUGGUUGAAGGGUUGGUGAAGCUGACACAAUAUAAUGGGUUAACCUGUCUACCAGUUGGCUACAUGGACAAUUACGUCAGUCAUUGUCAAUCCGUCUUCGGGGAACUAUCUCAUUGGACACUUCAGAGACAUAAAUUGUACUUUCUACAAUUCAUAAUUAGAACAAAAGAUCAAUGGCAAUUCGUCCAAAUCAACUGACCAUAAGAAAAAUGUAGCUGGACUAACUUUGUGCUAAAUUUCUCUUUGAAAAAAGCACACACCAAGAGGGCAAGAAGGCAGAGGUGAUAGUGAUGUGAGGAGGAAGAGGUCCUCUUCAGUUUACUCAGUCCGCUGGUAUGGAGUACAUUCUUAUCCGGUUUCACAGUCCACCGCACAUGCGUUGUUGACCUGAGAUUGCUAGUUGCUCUUUAAGUCUCCUUUUGUUCAGUUCCAUUGACAGUGACCUUGAUGGACUAAUGUUUGGAUGUCAGGUAUAUUUUAAUAGAUAGAACCUUGCUUGUCUGUGUUCUGUGACGCAGGUUGUAGGAGUAUCCCUUAGUUUUGGCUUUGGUUCAUGUCUUGGCCAUUUUGUUUUCAUUUCUUUCAUUCUGUGAAUGAACAUUGGCAGGAGCUCCGCCCUUCAACUUGGGAGAGAGGAAAAAUGUCACAACAGUCUUGUUAACAGAAAUGGACUUCCUCGUAAUGUGCAAUGCGUGUUCUGUUAUUCGGUCAAGCAAGGAACGAAGAUGCUGACCACCUCCUGGUGGAAUGAAGCCUUAAUCUGGAGUAGGCUCUGCAUAAAUAGCCAUGAGGAAAGCAAUUUGCUCAGACUUCAUCGAUCGGUAGUGAAAAAUCAUUGUAUUUCUUUGCAAUUUUGAAGGUGUUUCAGAAGGAGACAUUCAGAAAGCAUGCGGUUAUGUUGUUUUGUGGUACAUAAAUGUUGUUGAAAUAACAACAGAUGAUUAGGGUGUGUCUC